rnacentral:rRNA from 1 species
AACGAACGCUGGCGGCGUGGAUAAGACAUGCAAGUCGAACGCUGAUUUCAAGGUAGCAAUAUUUUGAAGUUGGAGUGGCGCAAGGGUGUGUAACACGUGGGUAAUCUGCCGUGAAGCCUGGGAUAACUUGCUGAAAGGCGAGCUAAUACCGGAUGUGAAAAUCGGAAGGCAUCUUUUGAUUUUCAAAGUUGGGGACCGCAAGGCCUGACGCUUUAUGAUGAACCCGCGGCCUAUCAGCUAGUUGGUGAAGUAAUAGCUCACCAAGGCUAAGACGGGUAGCUGGUCUGAGAGGACGACCAGCCACACUGGAACUGAGACACGGUCCAGACACCUACGGGUGGCAGCAGUCGAGAAUUUUUCUCAAUGGGCGAAAGCCUGAAGGAGCGACGCCGCGUGGGGAUGAAUGGCUUCGGCCCCGUAAACCCCUGUCAUUCGGGAUCAAUGCUUGCCCGCUAA